AAUGUAGAGUUUGGUUGUAGCUGGCUCCUAAUUAAACUUGGGGGCAUGUGCACACCUUUCUCUUUCAUCCCAUACACACCUGUGCACCUGUGAGACAGAUGUUUUGUGGGGGGGAAGGAACUUUAUUGGACCUUCUACUCCCCCUUGACUUCUGUCUACUUAAUUCAUAUAAACUCAAUUUAUUUUAAAACGGAUGUAAUGGAUGUAACACAUCUAAUACUAAGUUUCAACAACGGAUCUCUUGGCUCUCGCAUCGAUGAAGAACGCAGCGAAAUGCGAUAAGUAAUGUGAAUUGCAGAAUUCAGUGAAUCAUCGAAUCUUUGAACGCACCUUGCGCUCCUUGGUAUUCCUUGGAGCAUGCCUGUUUGAGUAUCAUGAAAUCUUCAAAGUCAAACCUUUUGUUAAUUCAAUUGGUUCUGCUUUGGUAUUGGAGGAUUAUUGCAGCUUCACACCUGCUCCUCUUUGUGCAUUAGCUGGAUCUCAAGUGUUAUGCUUGGUUCCACUCAGCGUGAUAAGGUAUCUAUCGCUGAGGACCCCUGUUAAAAAAGGGUGGCCAAGGUAAAUGCAGAUGAACCGCUUCUAAUAGUCCAUGGCUUGGACCAAUAUCUAAUUAAUGACCGGAUCUCAAA
rnacentral:rRNA from 1 species